CAAGAAAUGUGGAAGGCAGAGUGAUGGCCAAGGCAGAAAUGAUGGAAUGAAGACAGUGAAAACCUAUCAGUUGUGACCCAUGAAACUCAGACCAUUCUGAUAUAUUUGGAGAGUUAGGAGGCUUUGAAGGGCCCUCUAAUCAGCAUACCAGGCUGGCCUUACUUUCUUAUUUGCAACAUUUAAGAACCUAGUGAUAGACCCACAUCUCAUUAGUGUAAAUUACCCAGGGCCACCUAUAACCCUAGUCCUUUGCUCCAAUGAAGAUUGAAAGGCCUGAGGGACACCAAGAUUGAACCAUGAAAUGUCAUUAGCUGAACCUCAGUCCUCACAACUCCCAGAACUAAUUAUAGAGCUGGGAGUGGCUGGGGCCAGACCCCUCUGAUAUAAAAAGAUUUUAUGAAAGGCAAAGGGGGGGAGGCAACAAUAAUUCUCACCCUAUUAUAUUCCUUUCAAUUAUUUACAGUACUAGGCACUGGUGGUGAACAAAUAUAGAGACUGGAAUCCAGUGAGGUCACACUGGUGUUCUGGAAGCCAGUGAUGCCGUAUUGGAAUCUGGGGACACCAUGAGGCAAUGUUUCAGCUGCCCCUGCAUUCCUUACCUCCCAUUGUUUCUUUCUCUCUCUCCACCUCCCCUUCCCCCAACAGCCAAGGUUAGGAGCACAGACCCCAUGGUGAGAAUUCUAAGUUUGAUCCCAUGUCCAGGACUCACAUAGAUCCUCCAUCCAGGGUUUUAAGAAGACUCACAUUUGUUCUCCUGAGCACAACAGAAAAUGAAUACUGGAUGAAUGCAAAACCAACAUAGGGAUAGUGCUAAUCACCUGAUACCUCUAAGCAACCAGGUGUUUCUUUGAGAAGCCAGAAGCUGAUAACCUGGACUUGCUAAUCUAACCCCCAGUCCAUGUUCUUUGUAGUGGAAGACUCUGGGUGGAGAUUCUUUCCACUGGGAGUGCUCCUGCCUGACUGCAUCCACUUAACCCACUCUCCAAGAUCUAGAAUCAGAUUUCAACCAUAUGGAAUCAUCCACGAUGCAGCAGAUGGGUUUACAAGUCUCUUGGUCUCUUCGUGUAACUAACAGCCAAGAAGU
rnacentral:lncRNA from 12 species